rnacentral:rRNA from 1 species
GAUGAACGCUGGCGGCGUGCCUAAUACAUGCAAGUCGAGCGAACAGACGAGGAGCUUGCUCCUCUGACGUUAGCGGCGGACGGGUGAGUAACACGUGGAUAACCUACCUAUAAGACUGGGAUAACUUCGGGAAACCGGAGCUAAUACCGGAUAAUAUAUUGAACCGCAUGGUUCAAUAGUGAAAGACGGUUUUGCUGUCACUUAUAGAUGGAUCCGCGCCGCAUUAGCUAGUUGGUAAGGUAACGGCUUACCAAGGCAACGAUGCGUAGCCGACCUGAGAGGGUGAUCGGCGACACUGGAACUGAGACGCGGUCCAGACUCCUACGGGAGGCAGCAGUAGGGAAUCUGCCGCAAUGGGCGAGAGCUUGACGGAGCAACGCCGCGUGAGUGAUGAAGGUCUUCGGAUCGUAAAACUCUGUUAUUAGGGAAGAACAAAUGUGUAAGUAACUAUGCACGUCUUGACGGUACCUAAUCAGAAAGCCACGGCUAACUACGUG